GUCUGUAAGAUGCAUGUUCUCAUAUAAAUAGACGUGUCCAAAUGUGGACAGGUGGUAGUUCAAGACAUCAAGUUAAAAUACUGAAUUUUUACAAAUCAUUUGAUAUUUUAAAGAUAAUAAAAAAAUAUCGUCCAUUUGGAUAAAAAAACGGGAAUGCAUGACAACAGAUUAUUUAACCUCAUAUAUUCGUUUUUCCAGUGGACGAGUCUAUUACGUUUUUGACACGUGUGUUGAAACUUAUUUUCGUACGACGUUUUUCUUUUUUUUUCUUUAUCAGUUUUCACCAAGUUUUGAUUAAAAGCUAAGUCAAAUAACUGACGUGAAUCUGUUUUUCUUGUUUGUGAAAUGACGAUUUAAUUUCGUCUUUGUCAGUGUACCCCCCUUUUUUUACGGGAAAUUAUUAGACAAUGUCAUGCGAUGAUUACAGCUGAGCAAUUAUAUUUCAUCAAACUAAAAUUUAAGAACGAUGAAAAAAUAGUAUGACAAACAAAUUAGAAAGGUGAAAUAUAUUUUUAUUUUGCAUAUCAGUUUUCUGUCUUGAAAGAUCUUUUUUUUCUUCUUUUUUUCCGACCGACCGACCCGCCUUUUUUAUGGAGAAAAUCCGUAAACCAACAAAUUAAAAAACCG
rnacentral:lncRNA from 1 species